AUUGAACGCUGGCGGCAUGCCUUACACAUGCAAGUCGAACGGCAGCACGGGAGCAAUCCUGGUGGCGAGUGGCGAACGGGUGAGUAAUAUAUCGGAACGUGCCCAGUCGUGGGGAUAACGUAGCGAAAGCUACGCUAAUACCGCAUACUAUCUAUGGAUGAAAGCGGGGGAUCGCAAGACCUCGCGCGAUUGGAGCGGCCGAUAUCAGAUUAGGUAGUUGGUGAGGUAAAGGCUCACCAAGCCGACGAUCUGUAGCUGGUCUGAGAGGACGACCAGCCACACUGGGACUGAGACACGGCCCAGACUCCUACGGGAGGCAGCAGUGGGGAAUUUUUGGACAAUGGGCGCAAGCCUGAUCCAGCAAUGCCGCGUGCAGGAUGAAGGCCUUCGGUUGUAACUAGCUUUUGUACGGUAACGAAACGGUAGAGGACG
rnacentral:rRNA from 1 species